rnacentral:rRNA from 1 species
UACGUAGGGCGCAAGCGUUGUCCGGAAUUAUUGGGCGUAAAGAGCUCGUAGGCGGCUUGUCGCGUCUGUUGUGAAAGCCCGGGGCUUAACCCCGGGUCUGCAGUGGAUACGGGCAGGCUAGAGGCAGGUAGGGGAGAACGGAAUUCCCGGUGUAGCGGUGAAAUGCGCAGAUAUCGGGAGGAACACCGGUGGCGAAGACGGUUCUCUGGGCCUGUACUGACGCUGAGGAGCGAAAGCGUGGGGAGCGAACAGG